rnacentral:lncRNA from 1 species
ACAAAGACAAAACAAAAGUAUUUGGAUAAAAAAAAGAUACAUGGGUAAUUAGAUGAAACUCUAAAAAUGUUCAAUUAUGUCCAUAAACCAUAAUCUAAAAAAGAAAAUGAACAAUUUUAGACCUACUCACUUGCAUUUACGAAAACAAACAAANAAGAUACAUGGGUAAUUAGAUGAAACUCUAAAAAUGUUCAAUUAUGUCCAUAAACCAUAAUCUAAAAAAGAAAAUGAACAAUUUUAGACCUACUCACUUGCAUUUACGAAAACAAACAAAAUAAAUCAAAAUUUAUUCAAAACUGAACCAAAUUCUGGCAUUUCUUCCACAAGCUCCACUGCCCCCUGCAAACAUCAUUCUCCCAUGCUCAGGUUUGAUUCACUGAACUCCAUCACAUGAAAUUCAAUCUCGUUUUCUUCUCACCUGAACACCAAUUUGUCAACCUAGUACAUUGUUAUUGGUAUUCACUUGAUACUGUUAUAAUUUUGCUUUAAAUUGGCAUUUUUAACUUUCUAACAUUUGUGUUGCACUUUAUUUUUAAACAAAAGGGCAUUCCAGGUUGUUAUACAAUAGAGAAGUAGGGCUUAUCAUUUUCCCAUUAAUGUAUGCAAAGCUCGAAUUAUGAUGUAAUACCCAUCUUAAACCUUGAGUUUAUGCUUCUGAUUCUGAUUUUAAAGCUCCAAAUGGGUAGUCCCAGUCCCACAAGGGAUGAGCGUUUUCCAUAGAUAACCCAUAGUCAACAAGCAAUUCACUUGAUGCAAUUACAGGGAGUGAAACAUAUGUUAGAUGUGAAGAGAUUUACCAGAUAAUGCAAUUCAAUUGAUGUGUCUUGACUGGUAAUUUUCGAUUUUCAGUUUCAUCAAAAGAACGAACAAAAAAUUAUCACAUGAGGAAUAAACCUUAUAGUCGGAGUAAUAAACCCUACCAUCGGAGUUGCAGGGACGGCCGAUGCUAGAGGAGGAAGGCGUUGGCGAAUCGGUGGAGGCCGACUGUGGGGAAAGAAACGGUUGUGCAACUUGUUCACCAUGGACGAUGGAGUCAGAAGCGAUUACGAUUUAUGGGAUAAAAUCAAAACAGCUCUCAAUUUCAUCAGUCAGCGUUAUUUUUUUGUGGACUCGAUAAGAGGAAUAUUGACCAGGUAAGAGGCUAAACUUGAUAAUAUCAAACACUCUUACCGAACCGACUAAGAAAUAACCUCUUACUGGACCCAGUAAGAGGUAAAUCAAACAGGCCCUUACUAACAAAAAAGGAAGAAUUUCAUAUAUGUCAUUCUUAAACAUCAAAACAUCAUAUUUACCCAACUUAAUUUCUAAAUAUCAUAUUUACCCUUCAUAAAAUUUCAAAAUAUCAUAUAUUUACUUUUUAAACAUCAAAAUAUCAUAUAUGUCAUUCUUAAAUAUCAAAAUAUCGUAUAUGCACUUUGUAAACAUUAAAAUAUCAAUGAUAAUAUCUAAAAUAUCAUCCAUCUACAACAUAAUAAUAAUCAUCAACAACAAAAACUAAACAAUUUAAAUAUACAUUCCAUAGAAAGGGUAGA